GGGCCUCGGCCAGGCCUGAGAUGCCGGGAGGGUUUGACCCUGGGGCUGCAUGGACAGCUUAGCGCUCGGCCGCUGGCGACAGCGGAGGGCGGAGGAUCUGCAGGUUCCGGGGGACGUGAAACGGGUAUGCAGGAGAUUAGAAGCCAGUGGGCAUGAGCGUGGCUGCCACCAGGUGAAUGCCUGUGCCCUGGCGUCCUGGGGCCCAGAGGACCGGGAGCUUCCAUCAAGAGGCUGCCUCCCAGCACCAAGGCCAGAGAGUGGCCAGGGGAGGCUAAGUACAGGGAUUUCUCAGAAUGGUGGAAGGAGCUCAGCCCAGCCUUGCCCAAGAUGUAUUGCAGGGGAAUCUAUGGAGUUUUGCUCUCGUUGCCCACGCUGGAGUGCAAUGGCAUGAUCUCAGCUCACUGCAACCUCCGCUUCCCAGGUUCAAGCGAUUCUCCUGCCUCAGCCACCCAAGUAGUUGGGAUUACAGGUGUGUGCCACCAUGCCUGGCGACUUUUGUAUUUUCAGUAGAGAUGGGGUUUCACCUUGUUGAUCAGGCUGGUCUCAAACUCCUGACCUCAAGUGAUCCACCCACCUCGGCCUCCCAAAGUGCUGGGAUUACAGGCGAGAGCCACCGUGCCCGGCCAUGACCUUCUUUAGUUCUUUGACCAUAUUUAAAAUGGCUGAGGUGAAGUCUCUGGUAAGUUCAUGUCUGGGCUUUGUGUUCUGUUUGCCCUUCCAGGUCAGAUCCACUGCCCACCUUUCCUGGCAUCUGCACAGGAGGCCAGCCUGCAUGGCUUACAUCCAGGGGGUGCCGGGGGCACCUGGGCUCUCCCACUUCCCUUUGGGCUCAGCCGCUAGGGGGAUUUGGGGCAGGCAACAGGAGGCUGGAGAACGAGGGCAGGGUAUGUGGCCAUGUCCCCUGGCCAGUGUCACUCAGCAGCAUGUGUCAUCUCCUCCUUCCAGGUUCUGGUAGCCGCUGCUGCCCUUUAUCCCUUGGGUCUGGCCCCUGCACUGUCCCUCGCGGCUCCCAGGACAACUUUGUGACAAAUCCUUUUGUAAUAACCCCUUUGUGAGGUCUCCUGUUCGCCCAUGUAUCUGUUUCCUGUUGGGGCUAUGACUGGUACAGAAGGGUGCACGCCCACUUUCAAGUGUUGACGCCUCCAAGAAGGAAGGGAGGAAGAUGAGGCAAGGGUGUGACAGGUGUCCCUCGGCACAGGGCACAGCAGGUGCUCUAAAGACAUUUCAUCAUACAAAGAUGCAUGCUGGUAAAGACGGAUGAUUGUCUUAGAGGUCCAAGCUUUUACUGUAGGCCUUUGUAGAAUUCUCUUGAGAAGGGACAGUGUUUUGUGGUAGUAAAGACGAAUAUGCUGUUAAAGGAAGAAAAAAUGACUCCUCUGGCAGAUGGUAAUGGCAGGAAUCGUCAACAUCUUUAACCCACAGAGGGCUGCUGUCAUCCUGUCACACAGGUACUCGGGGAGAAGCAGAGAGCUAGCCACAGCCAGGGCUCUGCCCAUUAAGGAAAAAUGGCUUCAGCAAAAAGGGAAGGAGAUGUGGGGUGCAGUUCUCUCCUCCCCCAGUCCACAGGGAUGACUUGCAGCUAGAUGUACCAGAGGUGAGGGCAUCAAUCUGGGUGUUUCACGUAAUGGUCCCAGAUGGAGUGAGGUGUGUCCCUGUUGGCCCUGCUGUCCUUCCGGCUCCACAGAGAGGUCAUGGAGAGCCCAGCGAGGAAGGCUUCCAAAAAGGAAAGGGGGACGUUUUGAGGGAGUUCAUGCGUGGUGGCAAACCCCACAAAGAAGCCGUUGCAGUGAGAGAUGAAAGAAGGGCUGAGGCCACACACGUGUGCCCCAAGGGUGUGGAGGAGAAGGCGCUGGGCAGCAGGUGCAACCAGAAGCAGCUGGCCCUGGGCCCUUUUCAUUCCAAGGUUAGAAGCAAAUAAAAACUCCCUCUUCACAAACAUCGUUCUCUUGCUCCGUGGAAUUGUGUUUUACCAAAAGUGGAAAAGGGUUUUCCCAUUAUUGCUGAUCAAAUCACUUUUCAAGCCUGACCAAACAGGAGGCAAGGCAUUUUAAUUGUCUGCAGUAAGACUCACAGUCGAGGCACAAUGAGCCUGAUGCUCCUCGUCAGACCUGCCUCUGGUGGCUGGUGUGGGCCAUCUGUGAGUCCCAGAGUCUGAUGACUUGAGGUCCCACUGGCCCAGCCCCAGUCUAGAUUGGGGUCAGUACGAGGCUUCUCUUUGGGUGUCACUGGGGGCUGCUUGCUUUGAGAGAGACAGAGACAAACUGGGACGUGUCAAGAAGAGAGAGUAGGAUGAUGCGGGGACUUGAGAUCAUGCCAGGGCAGAGGUUUAAAUGAGCAAUUUCGAAAGGUUCCUUUGUGUCUAAGAGAGAGUAGAAUGGUGCGGGGGCUUGAGAUCACACCGGGGCAAAAGGUCUAAAGAGCAAUUUCUAAAGGUUCCUUUGUGUCUAAGAUUCUGGGUCUUGGCCAGCUGCGUUGGUUCACACCUAUAAUCCCAAGACUUUGGGAGGCUAAGGCGAGUGGAUCGCCUGAGGCCAGGAGUUCUAGACCAGCCUGGACAACAUGAUGAAACCCUGUCUCUACCAAAAAAAAAAAAAAAAAAAUUAGCCAGGUGUGGCGGCAAGCACCUGCAGUCCCAGCUACUCAGGAGGCUGAGAUGAGAGGAUCUCUUGAGCCUAGGAGGCUGAGGCUGCAGUGAGCCAUCAUUGUGACACUGCACUCCAGCCUGGGUGACAGAGCCAGACCCUGUCUCAAAAAAAAAAAAAAAAAAAAAAAUCCAGGUCUCAGUCCUCAAAUUGAUGUGGCUCUUUGUCCCCACGUUUUAUCCUUUCUGUCUCAAACAUGUCUUCCAGGUAUACCCCUCCUUGAACAGAGCAGGGAAGGAUGCGUCAGGAAUAAGUCACCUCAGUGAAUAGCUGUUUUUAAAAAAGAAAUCAUUGUGUUUUUCAAGUUCUGUGGUUGGUGAUGACGAAAUGAAUUAAACAGCAUUUCCCUGCAGUUCCCCUGUCUCUUCCCUAAGAGACGCCUGCUGCCUCCUGGGUCUGCGCACCCCACGGCACCUCCAAGUGAGCCUCCCAGGCUUCCACUGACUCUGCCCCUUCAGUGCACAGCCCAGAGCCGUGAUUUGCCAGCUGGGCUCCUGCGUUCAGAGUCUCCCAACAGAACAGGUUCUUGUCCAGAGAAGUUCAGGAAAUGCUACAUACUUUCCCCUGCCUUUUAGAGACUUGAUGUCCAUUAGACUGUGAAAGACCUCGAGAAUUGCAUGAAGAAACUGGUUUCCAAAAUGUCCUUUUGUAAAGGGAUACCUGCUACACAUGUGAUUCUGGGAAUAUUCUGGGAAGCGCAGGCCUGUUGAGUAAAUGCAGCACCUGUAUUCACCAUGGCAUCCAGGGCCCUUCAAAUCUCAGUGUUGCUUGACCUCCCAGACAGCUGCUCCCAUCCCUGCCAUGUGCGCCACAAGCCCCUGCUCCAGCCGCCACAGCUUCUCCGAUCCUGGAACAGUCUGACCUUGUACUGUGCUUACUGCUUGAGGUAUACCUUCCCACCUCCAAAGAUUCUCUUGCUCCUUCGUGGCCCACCCGAGAUUCCUGUCUUGUGUGAAGCCUUCUUCAGGCCCCUCACCAGGUAGGGUCACGUGCUGUCUUCCCUGGCUCCUGUAGCAUUUCGUUCUGAUCACUCGAAGGAGCCAUCAGUAUCUGACGUCAGUACUCUGCUGUCUGAUAAUCCCUCCAGGCAAGUUCAGAGUCUCUCCUGUCUGGUCCCUGUGGGUCAGGGCAGCCCCUGCCUUCCAGGAAGCAGGGACAUCAUCAAGAACUGGACUUCUUUGUUUCCCCACUGCCCAGCCUACCCCACCCUUCCUGGGCUGCAGCCAGCUCAGGAGCCUGUUGCCCUGAUGGUGGAGUCCUUUCAGGACAGGGAGGCUGUGCCUGUCUCUGCCUGUGGGCCAGAGUGCCACGCUGCUAUGUGCCAGGAUAUGUGGCCAAGUGUGACAGAGAUUCCUAGAUGCUGACGAGCCUCUCAUUGCACAGUGGUACAGUGUCUGGCCAACUGUCUAUCCCCAGCCAUCUGGUUCUCCCAGUUACUUCUGCGGGUGAAGGGACAUUUUAGCCAUACCAAGAAUCAUUAGAAGAUGCAAGCUGGAAAAAAGAAGGUCCCAGUUUUGGUUUUGAACCCUUCAUGUUGCAGCAAAUGUGAAUCUCCUACAGAUGGGUUUGGGGACUUACCUGUUCAAAUAGCAGCCCGGUGUCCUCUGUGGGUGGGGGGAGGUUUGUCUGUCCUUUCAUUCUAGUAAAUCCACCAUCCUCUGCACGAGAGCCAGGAGAAUCCACAUCACUUCAAAAGAGCCCCCAAAUCCUUACUACGUACUACAGCCUCCUUUCGAAUGUUCCUGGUUGAGAGGGAGAUCAAUUGCAUUAUUUACAAGUCAAAAAAUUUUGUAUCAAACUUCCUAUGAGCUUGGGCACUCAUGGCCUAUGGAGGCCCACCCAGACGCAGCCCCGCCAUCAUGCUUUUUCGUUGUUUUGUGGAUGUACCCAGGGCUAUUUACACACUCUUUCAUUAAAAGGCUUAUUUUUAUAUUUAAAAUGUUCU
rnacentral:lncRNA from 1 species